rnacentral:rRNA from 1 species
UCAAGAGUACGUGAAACCGUUCAGGGGUAAACCUGAGAAACCCGAAAGGUCGAAUGGGGAAAUUCAUUCGCGUUUCGUUUAUCGGCGUUGAACUGUUGUGUGACGGAAGGGGUACGCUUCGACCGCGCCUUCAGUUUUUCGAACCGAUUUCGAACGCGUGCACUUUUCCCCUAGUAGGACGUCGCGAUCCGUUGGGCGUCGAUCUAAGGCCUGCGGUGGAGCUCGCGUAGACGUUUCGGCGUUCUAUACGAACCUGCAGUGUCCCGAUCGACUCGCUCGACGGUAAAAAGAUGGCGCGGGGCCGCUACACAGUUAGCGUUCGACCUACGGCAAGCACGUGCGGUGUUCGACGGCGAUCAGACCUGGUCGGAUCCCGUCCCCGGACGACUGUUGGCAUAUGUAGUGAUCUCGAACAGACCUCGUUGAAACGCCGAUCAGCGACGCUAUAGCUUUGGGUACUUUCAGGACCCGUCUUGAAACACGGACCAA